GUGGGGAAUCUUCCGCAAUGGACGAAAGUCUGACGGAGCGACGCCGCGUGAGUGAUGAAGGCCUUCGGGUCGUAAAGCUCUGUCAUCGGGGACGAAUGGUCGUUGGAGUGGAAAGCCAGCGAAAUGACGGUACCCGAGAAGGAAGCCACGGCUAACUACGUGCCAGCAGCCGCGGUAAUACGUAGGUGGCAAGCGUUGUCCGGAAUUAUUGGGCGUAAAGCGCGCGCAGGUGGGAUCUUAAGUCCAUUUUGAAAGUUCGGAGCUCAACUCCGUGAUGGGAUGGAAACUGGGAUUCUUGAGUACCGGAGAGGAAAGCGGAAUUCCCCGUGUAGCGGUGAAAUGCGUAGAUAUGGGGAGGAACACCAGUGGCGAAGGCGGCUUUCUGGACGGUGUCUGACACUGAGGCGCGAGAGCCAGGGGAGCGAACGGGAUUAGAAACCCUUGUAGUCC
rnacentral:rRNA from 1 species